UGAGCUCAGGCAAGGCUACCCGCUGAACUUAAGCAUAUCAAUAAGCGGAGGAAAAGAAACUAACAAGGAUGCGCUUAGUAACGGCGAGCGAACCGCGCAAAGCCCAACUUGAAAAUCUCCCUUGGAGAAUUGUAGUCUAUAGAAGUACCCUCUGUAACGGGCGCAGCUCAGUCUCCUGGAAAGGGGCGUCAGAGAGGGUGAGACCCCGUAAGCUGUGCUUCGUGCCUCACGAGUGCUUCGAAGAGUCGGUUGCUGGGAUGCAGCCGAAUUGU
rnacentral:rRNA from 1 species